rnacentral:lncRNA from 1 species
AAAAUCCUCAAACUGUAAAAAAACCCCUACCUUUACGUUUUCAUUCAUCAGAAUCCUCUAUAUAUAAAGAUAUAUAAAGAUGGGGUUUCUUGAUUUGAAGUUAUUUCAUCUGUCAGACACCAAAAUGGAAGAAAACAACAACCGAUGCUUAGUUUACUUUCAAUUUCAAUUUCAAUCCCGAAACACCAAAAUCUUUAUAAAAACAUCAUUUUUAGCUAAAAAAACAUGUCUUUUUUAUCCCAAUAUUAAUUUGAAACGAACUGACACACAUUGGUUUCAGCGGGAGAAAAAUAAUUCAAAGUAUAAGUAUGUUGUACUACCUAGGGGUGGGCACGGUCCGGUCCGGUCCGGUAAUGUAAUAGGACCGGGACCAAACCGAGUUGACUAUAUCGGUUCGGUUUCGGUUCCAUGGACCGAAAUUUGGUGAAUGUAACCGGACCGAACCGGACCAAAUACAAUCGGUCCGGUUUCGGUCCGAACUCGGUCCUGGGCUUUUUCUUUGGGCCUUUAGUCCACUACAAUUUAGAUGAUUAUUCUUAAGUUUUGGGCUUUAAACAAAAUAAAACAUACACCAAAUCAAGUACUAAAUAGGAAAAAGGUCCAAAACCAAUGAACCAACCAUGGAUCCACCAUAAGUCCACAACCAAUUACUAAUUCCUAUGUCUAGUUUAGUAAUUUACUAAUAAAAAAAAUAUUUUUUUAUUUAUUUCGGUUCGGUUCGGUUCUCUCGGUUCUAUAAAAACAAGAACCGAGACCGGACCAAUUGCUAUAUGGUUCGGUUCGGUUUCGGUCCGGUCUUGACCGGUUUUCAGUCAACUCGGUUUUGACCGGUUUUGACUCGGUUUUUUCGGUUCGGUUUUCGGUUUUUCGGUUUUUUUGCCCACCCCUAGUACUACUACCUUCUCUCUCUGAACUCCAAAUACACCUCUUCUGUUUGAUUUCAAGAAAACAAGAGAAAGAAACCACCUUUCUUCUCACUCUCAUCAAUCAUCAUCUUCUGCUUCGUUUUCGGUCACUUCUCUCCAUUAAAGUAUAUAGAAGUAAACAAGAGUCUUGUUUAUAUUUAUUGAUAAGGGUUUUAAUUUAUCAUACCUCAAGUUCCCCAAAUACAACAGCAAAACGAAAUCUCUUUGCUUAUAAUCACAAGAAGAAGAAGAAGAAGAAGAAGAAGAAGAAGAAGGAGGAGAAGGAAUUCAUUUAGCUACAUCUUGUUUUAUUGGAGCUUAAUUAUAUCAAUUGUAAGUAAUGUUAUAUUGUUUGAUAGGAUUAUGCUUUUCUUGUUUAAAUUAAUUUGAUUGAAUGAUUGAUUCAUGUCUAAUUAACUAGAAUGCAAGUAACACUGAAUUUGUUUGAAUAUUUUUUAUUGUAAUUGAUGCUGAAGAUAGAAAAUUCACCUGCUAGCAUCAUCGUGACGGUGAUAAAAUAAAACCCUUCUAUAUUCUUCAACCCUCCAUCAUCUUUGUUUUACUGUUUCAAUUGAUGGUAAUUUGCAGUGAAAGUUUAUAGUUUUAUUUUCUUUUUUUUCUAGCUUGUUUGCCCCUUUUUUAAUAAUUUUAUUUUCGAG